rnacentral:misc_RNA from 1 species
AACGCACAUUGCGCCCGCCAGUAUUCUGGCGGGCAUGCCUGUUCGAGCGUCAUUUCAACCCUUAAGCCUCGUCGCUUAGCGUUGGGAGACUGCGGGCCCUCGCGGCGCGCAGCUCCUCAAAUACAGUGGCGGAGUCGGUUCGCACUCUAGGCGUAGUAGUUUACUCCUCGCCUCUGAAGGUGUGCCGGCCCCUGCCGUAAAACCCCCCUAAUAUUCUAGUGGUUGACCUCGGAUCAGGUAGGAAUACCCGCUGAACUUAA